GGCGAGGUAGCUCAGUUGGCUAGAGCCGUCGGUUCAUACCCGGAAGAUCGUGGGUUCGAGUCCCACCCUCGCUACCA
rnacentral:tRNA from 1 species